rnacentral:rRNA from 1 species
UACGUAGGCAGCAAGCGUUGUUCGGAGUUACUGGGCGUAAAGAGUGCGUAGGUGGUGCCCUAAGUCUGUUGUGAAAUCUCCCGGCUUAACUGGGAGGGUGCGGUGGAAACUGGGGUGCUUGAGUGUGGGAGAGGUAAGCGGAAUUCCUGGUGUAGCGGUGAAAUGCGUAGAUAUCAGGAGGAACACCGACGGCGUAGGCAGCGCCCUGGCCGUUUCCUGACGCUGAGGCACGAAAGCUGGGGGAGCAAACAGG